GAUGAAGAACGCAGCGAAAUGCGAUACGUAAUGUGAAUUGCAAAUUCAGUGAAUCAUCGAGUCUCUGAACGCACAUUGCGCCCCCUGGUAUUCCGGGGGGCAUGCCUGUCCGAGCGUCAUUGCUGCCCUCAAGCACGGCUUGUGUGUUGGGCCCCGUCCUCCGAUUCCGGGGGACGGGCCCGAAAGGCAGCGGCGGCACCGCGUCCGGUCCUCGAGCGUAUGGGGCUUUGUCACCCGCUCUGUAGGCCCGGCCGGCGCUUGCCGAUCAACCCAAAUUUUUAUCCAGGUUGACCUCGGAUCAGGUAGGGAUACCCGCUGAACUUAAGCAUAUCAAUAAGCGGAGGA
rnacentral:misc_RNA from 1 species